rnacentral:lncRNA from 1 species
AGGACUGAUACAACAGGACUGAUACAGGACUGAUACAACAGGACUAAUACAACAGGACUGAUACAACAGGACUGAUACAACAGGACUAUUACAACAGGACUGAUACAACAGGACUGAUACAACAGGACUGAUACAACAGGACAAACACAACAGGACUGAUACAACAGGACUGAUACAGGACUGAUACAACAGGACUGAUACAACAGGACUAAUACAACAGGACUGAUACAACAGGACUAAUACAACAGGACUGAUACAGGACUGAUACAGGACUGAUACAGGACUGAUACAACAGGACUAAUACAACUGGACUGAUACAACAGGACUGAUACAGGACUGAUACAGGACUGAUACAGGACUGAUACAACAGGACUGAUACUGGACUGAUACAACAGAACUGAUACAACUGGACUAAUACAACAGGACUAAUACAACAGGACUAAUACAACAGGACUGAUACAACUGGACUGAUACAACAGGACUAAUACAACAGGACUGGUACAGGACUAAUACCACAGGACUGAUACAACAGGACUGAUACAGGACUGAUACAGGACUAAUACCACAGGACUGAUACAACAGGACUAAUACCACAGGACUGAUACAACAGGACUGGUACAGGACUAAUACCACAGGACUGAUACAACAGGACUGAUACAACAGGACUGAUACAACAGGACUAAUACAACAGGACUGAUACAACAGGACUGAUACAACAGGACUGAUACAACAGGACAAACACAACAGGACUGAUACAACAGGACUGAUACAGGACUGAUACAACAGGACUGAUACAACAGGACUAAUACAACAGGACUGAUACAACAGGACUAAUACAACAGGACUGAUACAGGACUGAUACAGGACUGAUACAGGACUGAUACAACAGGACUAAUACAACUGGACUGAUACAACAGGACUGAUACAGGACUGAUACAGGACUGAUACAGGACUGAUACAACAGGACUGAUACUGGACUGAUACAACAGAACUGAUACAACUGGACUAAUACAACAGGACUAAUACAACAGGACUAAUACAACAGGACUGAUACAACUGGACUGAUACAACAGGACUAAUACAACAGGACUGGUACAGGACUAAUACCACAGGACUGAUACAACAGGACUGAUACAGGACUGAUACAGGACUAAUACCACAGGACUGAUACAACAGGACUAAUACCACAGGACUGAUACAACAGGACUGGUACAGGACUAAUACCACAGGACUGAUACAACAGGACUGAUACAACAGGACUGAUACAACAGGACUAAUACAACAGGACUGAUACAGGACUGAUACAACAGGACUAAUACAACAGGACUAAUACAACAGGACUGAUACAGGACUGAUACAACAGGACUGAUACAACAGGACUAAUACCACAGGACUGAUACAACAGGACUGAUACAACAGGACUGGUACAACAGGACUGAUACAACAGGACUGAUACAACAGGACUAAUACCACAGGACUGAUACAACAGGACUGAUACAACAGGAC